rnacentral:rRNA from 1 species
UCGGACGGGUGAGUAACGCGUGAGAAUCUGCCCUCUGGUCGGGGACAACCACGGGAAACGGUGGCUAAUACCGGAUAGGCCGCAAGGUGAAAGAUUUAUUGCCAGAAGAGGAGCUCGCGUCUGAUUAGCUAGUUGGUGGGGUAAAAGCCUACCAAGGCGGCGAUCAGUAGCUGGUCUGAGAGGAUGAGCAGCCACACUGGGACUGAGACACGGCCCAGACUCCUACGGGAGGCAGCAGUGGGGAAUUUUCCGCAAUGGGCGAAAGCCUGACGGAGCAAUACCGCGUGAGGGAGGAAGGCUCUUGGGUCGUAAACCUCUUUUGUCAAGGAAGAAGCUCUGACGGUACUUGACGAAUAAGCAUCGGCUAACUCCGUGCCAGCAGCCGCGGUAAUACGGAGGAUGCAAGCGUUAUCCGGAAUUAUUGGGCGAAAGCGUCCGCAGGUGGCGUAUCAAGUCUGCUGUUAAAGACCGGGGCUAAACUCCGGAAAGGCAGUGGAAACUGAGAGCGGUGAAAUGCGUAGAUAUCGGGAAGAACAUCGGUGGCGACUGACACUCAGGGACGAAAGCUAGGGGAGCGAAUGGGAUUAGAUACCCC